GGCCAAACAAGUUUAGCAGCAGUGUCGAUCGUUCUGUGCCACAGUCCAACAGGACUGAGAUACCAAUGGUUAAACUAGCGAUAGAACAUACUGCUAUUGCUAAAUAGAAAUAACCAAGCACCUGCACUUUGGAGCAGGACUUGGGCUGGUCCUAGGACUUGGACUAGGAGAGGCUGGUGAAAGAAAGUUGUUUCUUCACUCAGCUGAUUCUGCUUACUGCUGAGGGUAACUUUACAGGUGAGCAAAGCUUGUGGGGUAGACAGAAAUGCCGAUCUAUUUUUGGGUUUGCUCCUUUGGGUACUACAUUUGAAUGCUUUGAUACUUUCCAGAACAAGCUUUGGGCCGGAAACACUUCAGCAACUUUUGUUUGACACACAAGCUCCAUGUGGGUCUCCUUGCACCAUGCUACUGCAAGCAGAAAUCCUGGGCAGAGUGGUGCAAAGAUGUCUGAGUGGCAGAAAGCAAAGCUAAAAUGGCUCUGCACUGAAAUUAACAAAUAGAAGAGCAGUUGGCUUCAAUACUUGAUGCUGACCUGAUGGUUUUAAGCUGCCAUUUAAAAAUAAGCAGAAGUGUAGUCAUUAAGGACAAAAUCUCUCCUUGGACAUAUGUAGAUGACUUAGCAAAAUCUGUGCUAACAGCUGAAACCCUAUUGCACUAUGAUUUUUUAAAACAGUUUAUCACACCCAUAAAGUCAACAUCUGCUUUGCUCUUCGAUGAAUGUACUCCAGGAGCUAUUUCAGACAAUUGUGGAGUUGCCUUGAGAGAUUGUUAUCUGGUAUUGUUUCUCUUGCAGUGAAGUAUGAUACUAUAGCAUGUGGAAAUCUACUGUUCAGUGUGUUUUCUGCCAGGAUUCAUCCCGCGUAAUGCUAGCUGCUUGGUCAGGCUGCCUGAAAUAGCAAAGUCUCACUCCUGGCUCCUGCUGUAGGUAUCUGAGCAGUCUUUGUUAUGUCCUUUUGUGCACCGCGACGUAUGACUGAUUCACUGCCAAGAUGCAUCCAUCCUUCAGACCCUGAACAAAGUCUCCCAGGCCAGUGACUGCUCCCAUGGGUAUCUGGGAGAUGUACCUGGACAAGGGUGGAGUCAAUCAGGGCCUUGCAGUUUCAGGUAGCCCCGUGCAACAAUGAGCAACAUUACAGCGGGAUGUAAUGGCCGUAAGUUUCUCUAGGGGAGGUUCAAGUUGGAUAUUAGGAAAAAUUUCUUCUCAGAAAGAGUGAUGAAGUAUUGGAAUGGGCUGCCCAGAGAGAUGGUGGAGUCACUGUUCCUGGAGGUGUUCAAGAAAAGGGUAAGUGUGGCACUGAGGGACAUGGUUUAGUGGGAAUGAUGGGGAUGGGUUGACUGUUGGACUAGAUGGUCUUAGUGGUAUUUCCAACCUUUACAAUCUAUGCUAGUGGCAGGUCUUACUUUGCUGUACUGCAGUCAUAUGGAAGAUGAGCAAGCUGUCUUCAUAUUGCUUGGGCUGUCAGGGUACAUCUACACAGCGGCUCAUCUUAUUUGUGAUGGACACUCUUCUGAAGAUAAGUAUCUUUGCCCUUUGAAGAUACUUGCCUCCCUUCACUGACCAAGAGGUUCGCGGGACAACUGAUUUGAACUACACAGCCAGUCUUUAGAUGACAAAUGGAAAGGUGAACGCACUCUCAAUGAGCAGAUAAACGUCCCUCUGGAAUGUUUCCUGAGACAUUACCACUGGUAGCUCUGGAUGAAGUCAUGCAUUUUAGGAAGGGAUCUGCAUGACAUAGCAGUCCAAAUGUAGCUGAGGAAGAUUGUCCUGUAUAGAAAAGAAAGCCCGAAUGCACUGUCCCUUCGGCUGUUUUGAUUUGUUUUGUUUUGUUUAGUUAAAGCAUCUGCCAGAAAAGACAAGUAAGUACAGAAAAGAACUUCUGUUUUUUUGGUGUACUUUUACAACCAUUCACUAGCCUAUUUUUUAAGUAUACCUGCAUGAAAAAGUGUAUUUCCACAGUAUGCUUCCUGCAGCACAUUCAUUUUUAUGUACCUUGUUGUUUGAUGGUUCAUUUCCCCUUGUCCUCCUAAAACAGUGUAACACACCUUUUAAAAUCAUCAUCAAAACUGAACUAAAAUCUGACUCUGGCUCAGACAAUUCCUAAUACUGUUUGUACUGAUGUAGUGUGUCACUUCAAGGCAAAAUCUUCUCCCCAUGUAAUAUUAUAUUGCUGAGAUACUUUCCCACAUAUGGCAGAUAACAAAGUGCUGAGAAGGCAUGAGACAGAAGAGAUCUAAUGGAAGGAAAUGCAGCAGAGUCCUCCUACAGAAAAUUACAGGCUUUUAAAUGUGACUUGCAGAGUAUUUUUUAAAUGUGUUUAUAUCCCAUUUGUGUUUCCUUGUGUUGCACAAAGAAAGCUUGAAACAUGCUAUUUUCUCAAAGCCAGUAACAAUUUCAAAAAGGAAGUGUCUUUUAAAGAGCAAAUGUCGUAUCUGCUGUGGACAACAGAACAGCUGUGAGAAACACAUACCCGGCUCAGAAACCCUUUGCCAACUGUUUGUGCUUCCAGCUCUCUCCUAACCACAACCAUUCAAGUAUAUGUUGUUCAGAGGGGGAGAGAGGCCCUGACAGUUAUGUAUAUAAAAUAGGCUAUAAUUUUGCAGCACAAUGAAGAGUGAAGAGAAAUAAUAUUUUUCACUAAGCAUCUCCUUGUUUUUCACAGGACUUAGCUCCAGGAAAGACCAUUAGUUAACUUCAUAUCCAAGCCUAUACCUUUGUAUAUCCUUUUAGAAACCAGGGAAAAACAAAGUGUGGGGAUGAAGGAAGACACAGAGACAGUUUUAAGUGACAAAUAGUGGGGUGGAACAGAAGGAGGCAGUGACAUGCAAUCCCCUUCUGGGACUUGCAAAGGAUUGCAGAUACGCGGUGGUCACACCUGCCAGCUCACCCAUGUGUCCUGGGGCUUGUUAAUGAGCCCUUUGCUAGAGAUGUAGCUCUCAUUCUGUCAAGAGCUGGAAAGCUUCAAUCCAUUUUCUUCAGUAGUGCGGCUCUCAGUCAUGAGUCACAUCACUCUAAGAAUAAAACUACAUCCAAGUUAACCCCUCCAUCACCUCCUAUGUCUUUUCAGAACCUUCACCAAGGAGGUUUUGGUUUACUGGAUCUUGAACAGCCAAAAUAUCAGAGGAUUAUUACUGCUUGGAGUUCACUUUAUUGUUGAGAUUGCCAUGUCAUCUUCUGAUCCGAGAAGCGGCGAACAUCACAAAAGCUGAAAAUGAAGUCUUUUCUGCUCUGUGGGGCACCUAUCCAAAAUGACUUGGCCUCCGGAGAUAAGCAAUAAGUAACGGAUACACUGAUUUAUUUUUCUUCGGUACUGAAACUAAGAACUGACAAUUCAAAUGCAGAGGUUAGAGGCUUGAUUCUUUAUCAUAUCAGUUUUGCACUGGAAUAACUGAUACGGUGAGGUAAAGAGGCAGGCCUGGUAUAUACCUGCCUUGUGUCAGAACUGCUUUAGCCAUUUCUGGUGAAAGAGUUUCCAAAGAGUCCCUGUAGAGUUGAGAUAAAACAGUAAUUAUUUAAUGCUGAAGGUUAUGAUAAUGUUAGAGAUUAAUGUCAGAGCUUAGGCUUUAAAUUAUUGCAUGUUAGGAUGACAAGGGUGUUUUUAGAAGUUUUUUUCUCGUUGGUACUCUGUACAGCAUCCCACUGAAACUGUUUUCAUCCACACUGUCUUCCCAUCCUGGUCUGUCCUGCAGCUGAGCGCACAGCAAGCCUCACUCAUCGUUUGGCAUAGGAUCCUGAUCACCUUCAGUGCAUACACUGCACACCUCUAGAUCAUAGAAUCAUAGAAUCAAAGAAUCCUUGGAGUUGGAAGGGACCUCUGAAGGCCAUCUAGUCAUCAACUCCCCUGCAAUGAACAGGGACAUCCACAGCUAGAUCACGUUGCCUAGGGCUUGAUCCAGUCUCUCUUUGAAAGUCUCCAUGGAUGGGGCAUCAACCACAUCUCUGGGCAACCUGUUCCAAUGCCUCACCACCCUCACUGUAAAAGACUUUUUCCUUAUAUCCAACUUAAAUCUACCCUCUUUGACCUUGAAACCAUUUCCUCUUGCUCCGUCACCACAGGCACUGCUUAAGAGUCUGCCACCUUCUUUCCCAUAGCCCCCCUUUAGAUACUAGAAGGCCACUAUCAGGUCACCUUGUAGCUUCUCUUCUCCAUGUUGAACAGUCCCAGUUCUCUCCACCUGUCCUCGUAGGAGAGGUGUUCCAUUCCAUGGAUCAUUUCUGUGAUCUUCCCUGGGAGCACUCCAACAGGUCUAUGUCUCUCCUGUACUGAGGACUCCACAUCUGGAUGCAAGAUAUGAAGAUCUUUCUUCUCCUCAGGAAUAAGUCUCUCCCUCCUUGGAGAUCACCAAAAACUGCCUGAAUGUGGUCCUGGGCACCCUGUUCUGGGCCCUUGCCUACCAACAUCCACCAUUCCACGAAUAAAGGGCCUUGGUUGUAGCUCUGUGAUGACAGUACUGAAAUGCGUCCAUCCCCUGUGAUAAACAGCAGAUUCAUGAACUUUGGGAUUUCCAACUUGGCCACUGAAUAGGUUUUCUGUGUGUGGUAUUGAGUGUCAGCUAGGGGUGGGGUAUAGAAAAGUCACACCAAUAGUCUACCAAACCGUCUCUAUGCACAGCCUUGAUGGAGAAUGUUUUGUGUCAUGUCACUUCAGCUAUACUGGAAGAAACAAUUUUUUUUUACAUUUGCUGUGCUUCUACUAGAAGCCUCUGUUAGCAUAACUAAUGACAAAACCAUUUCAGUGGUGAUGGGCAGCAAAACAACGUACUGCGGGACAAGUGGUUCUAAAUUUAUCCAAUAAUCAAAAACAUCAAAAUCACUAGAUACCAAUACCUAUACAUUAUCCGCUAUCCUGUUAUUUUGUCCAGUCCUGCACUGCUCUACUCAGUCCUUCCUCCAGGGCUGUUAGGGUUGCUGCAGUGCCUCUGCCUUCCAGGUUACCCACCUUCCAGGUUACAGGUGGGAUGCAAUUGAAGGGAUCCUCUACCUCUCCAUUUUCCUCUUCCCUCUUCCCUCUCCCACUGAGACUUUAGGAUCCUAAGACUGAAAAUUAUAUUCGUACACCCCACAAAAAGGAUGCGGUUAGAAAUUAGUAUUUUUUAAAAGUACGAAGCUAGACAUAAAUAGAAUUCCAGCAAUUUUAAAAUAAAUGAAAUGUAAAUCCCUAAAUGCCAUUUGUUCUCUCUGGAUGUAUUUCUUUGCGUUUGUAAAAAGAUCAUGUACACGGUUUUGUCAUUUAACUGCUAGUUAAAUGUGCCAGAAAAAGAAAGCUGAAGAAUUAAAUUUCAUUAUAAUUAACAGAACAAAUAUAAUUAGAAUUUUAGUAGUGCAAGUUGCCAUGCUCCUUCAGGUGUCCUGGUAGUAUUUUGAGUUAGAUAACUUUUCAACUCUUCGUUUCUUAGCUGCUGAGGAGCUGCUCCCACACACCGCGGAUGUGUCCAAACACGCUGUCUUUGCCAUGCAAGAAUGAAUUCACAAGGACUUGUAAUUGUAUCAGAACUGAUUUUAUGCCAAACAGCCAACCAUUAUUAAUGACUUCGAGUCAUUACAGUCCAACAUGGAUAUGUCCUGGAUUUCUGGUGCCUGGGAUAUUUUCCAGCUCAAAUUAAUGGUUUCUGAGUGAUGCGAAAAACUGAAGGUUUGUGAGUUGCUGUAUGCAAUCCAUGUUCUUUUCUAUACACUUCUGAUUCAUCUCCGAUGCUGUGUCUUUUCAUCUUUCUCAGUGAUACAUGCUUUUGAUUUUCGAGUAUCUUGGGCCAAAACUCAUCAGUCAGAUUUUAUCAUCCUCUUAUACUCCCUUUAACUCUUCCCAUAGUGAAGAUUUCAAAAGCAAUCUAGAAAUUCUCUCAAUAUCUACAUGAGAGCCAGGAGUAGGAAAUUUAUAUCUUUCUGUAUUUCUCCUCAGGACGGAGUAGAGUAGACAAACGUUUCCUGGAAAGGGAUUCUUUUUGACCAGAAAUUUGAGUAAAUUUCUCAUCUCUUACAAGAUACGAGUGGAUUUGAGUUGUAAGAAAGUCACAUUAUUUGUCAUCAGAUCUACUGGUGUAUAGAUUUGAGUAGACUCUCUAAAUGUUUCUUCAACCCACUGUAGGCUGUCUCCGUAUUUAAACCACAAAGGGUGUAUAAUCUUUGAAAAAAGGUUGAAAGCAUCUUCCUACUGUGACAUUUUUAUGUAGAAAGCUGACUGCUGUGGGGCUGAGUCUGUGUUGGAAAAAAGUCAUUUUCAAAGAAGAUAAAAUUCAGACUUUUACUUUCAGUGAUUUGAAUGGUGAACUCUUUGAAAUUAUGUUUCUUGUUUCUCAUCUUUAACAAGACUGACCAGCAAAUGGUUCUGUAAACAAAUGAUUGCCCUAUUAAAUGAAAUUUAUUAUGCUAAGGCAUACAACGGUGAGUGAACUUUUUUACUUUUUUUUUAAUCCUCAUUAUUAUUUAUUAUUUGGUAUUUUUCUACAAAAGGAGGAGAGAACAAUAUAUUCAGAAAGCACUUUUCAUACUUUUUUGUCUUGCUCACCUGCAGGAAUGUUGGCUGUAAUACACAGGCAGGCCCAGAGGAGGGCUGUGAAGAUGACCAGAGGGCUGAAGCACCUCUCCUAUGAAGGAUGGCUGAGGGAGCUGGGCUCCUUUAGCUUGGAGAAAAGAAGGCUCCAGGGAGACAUCACUGCUGCCUUCCAGUACAUGAAGGGAGCUUACAAGCAGGAGGGGGACUGACUUUUUAUGUGGUCUGAUAGUGAUAGAACAAGAAGGAAUGGUUUUAAACUAAAAGAGGGGAAAUUUAGGUCGUAUCUUAGAAAGAAAUUCUUUACUCAGAGGGCAGUGAGGCACUGGCACAGCUGCCCAGAGAAGCUGUGGGUGCCCCAUCCCUGAAGGUGUUCAAGGCCAGGUUGGAUGGGGCCCUGGGCAGCCUGAUCCAGUUGGUGGCAGCCCUGCCCAGGGCAGGGAUUGGAAGUAGGUGUACUUUUAUGCCCCCUCCAACCUAAGCCAUUCUACGAUUCGAUGAUACAAGAGUGUAUGGGAACAAUUAGGUCACAGCCUGAACUGAUGAUUGAGCAGCUGGUGAAGGAGCAUAGACAGACCUGGGAGCACAGGUGCAAGCAAUUCACCUGAGUGACCGAAAGUGGUGGACUCUGGGUCCCCACCUCCCUAAUCUCACUUAAGUGCUGGCAGCCAAAGGAGAAGCAUCUCUACUUCGACAUUACUUCUUUUGGGAGUUUUCCCUGCAAACCCUUAUCCUUGGAAAAGGGUAAACUGUUCCUUUUUUGUUACUGAAUUAUGAUCAAUACCUUUCUUGGAUGACCUGAAAAUUGUUUAAUGGCAGCUAUAUCCUCUACCUUAUACAAUACAAAGGGUAUAUUUUUUUCUUGUUUAUAGGAAGAGUGCUCUGCCUGGGCUCCUUUACCGUGGCUAUUUAAUGGCUGAAAAACUGAAAAAAGAACUAUGUUUUCUUCACAAGCUGCGACCUUCCUAAAGUAAUCAUCUAGCACAAGUUUGCCUCCUGGACUAUUCCAGAAAUUGAUCUUCCAGUAACUGAGAGAACUCAAAAAUACCCAAUGCUGAUGUGGCUUCAGUAGUCAUUGUGGUCUCUUCCUCAGAAGAAAGUCUGAAAAUAGGGGUCCCCACAGGGUUUUGUUCUGUAGUUUACAGAGGCUAUAAAUAUAUUAAUCAACCCUAAUGAUUCUCCAGAAUAUAUUCACUUCAAUACUAAUGGCUAGAUUGCCCCAUAAUGAAGAGAGAUUUUAUGAUAUUUUUGUCUAGUUCUAUUGCACUUUUAGUGGCUGGAGAGAUUCCAUUUAAGUUAAUCUCGUGUCUCUCCUUCAGGAAGCAAGGUCAUGUCCAGUAUCAGUUAAAUAUAUGGCACUACGCCUAUCAAGACUUUUGGAUCUUGCAGUUCCAGGGGCAGAUUUCAACACACGCAGUCCUUUACUAAUAUUAAAUAGCAAAAUUGCCUUAAGGAUCAUUAAAACCGUUGUGAUUUUUUUGUGCAUCUGCUGUUUGUCUCUCAGUGGAAUCUGACCUCUCCUUGCUUUGUGUGCCUUGAAGGGUAAGACUUCUUUGAUGUUCUCUCUCUGUAUUCACUCUUCAGUGCAGUCCCUACUGCUCCUGGAACAGCUGUUCCUCUGCUGCUCAAUCUCAGUUCUUUGGCUUCUUUCACCCUGUCUGUAAACAUGGCUGUAUGUUCCAAAUAAGCUUUCCAACACUCAUUCUCUGCUAGCAUUUAUCAGACCUUAUUAGUUAGUGUUAGUAUUUCCAAGUCCAGUUUGCCAAUGGUCUUUCCUAGCCAAGUGGGCUUCUUUCUAUUCACAUCCUCCUUAAAGCUGCUUUAGGACCACUGGCACUUCACAUCUCCACCGUAUCCUUCAGUGAGCCUGCAUUCCUGCUUUCUGCUUUUACCUCCUGAACCUCCUUGUUCCCUUCAGCACCUCCUCUGGCAGAUCCUCCCACUCCCUCUCCACUGUCUGUUGGCACCCUUCAGAUUUUCACCCUCGGUCCUCCUCCCUUCAUCUUUGUAGUACCUAUUUUGGCUAACUCGUCCUCCCCAUCAGUUUCUGUUACUUAUAACUCUUUUCCUCCUGUUGUGAAUUUGUUGCUUCUUUGAUAUUGCACUGCCAUCCUAAACUCUCUUUUGAUGGGGCUUUCUUAGCUAUCUCAAGUACGCUCUUUUCUCCCGCUUUAAGUUAUUGUACCAUCUUCUUGUCUUGCAGCUCUAAUGUCAGUGUUGAUUUCUCAUUCUCUCCUUAUGUCUCUAUCUACACAGUUAUUAAAUCAGAUUUUAUUCCAUAUGACAUUAGCUAGUCUAUCCGUGGCAGUUUGUCUUCAUUGCUUCAGUACUUGUCCAUUUUUGCUCUCAUUUCCAAGCAUCUUUUUGCUAUUUUCUAAAACAAAUUAGCUAUGCAUAUGUUCACUCUUUUCUAACCAUAUCUCCCUUUAAUCCAAAUCAUUUCACCUGCUUCCUCAGUCUUACUACAUAAUCCCUUUUAAUGCUUUGGAUAACCUCUCUCCCCGAACCUCUUUGAAUUUACCUACAACCUUUUUUUUUUUUUUUUUUUUUCCCUGCCAAGGUCCUCAUUUCAUUGUCAUUUUUUUACAGGCUUCCUGCAGUCUAGAGAGGAGGUAAUUCACUUCAUUUUGGCUUUUUAUCCUAUUUCUGUCAUUAGCAAACUAAUUAAUGAUACCUAACACCAGCAUGUGUGCUGGAGAGACUACAGUAAUGAGGUGAGACUUCCAAAAUGAACUUAUGUCCCUCCAAUUCAACACUGAUUUGUCGUUCUCUGGAAGUCUCGUAUCGGUGUUCAUAAUCUGUGAUUGGCAUCCUUUUGUGUCAGCAGCCCAGCAAGGUGGAGAGCAAAAAGGAGAAAGGGAAAGAACUUUUCUGCAUUUCCUAAGAGUGGAUUGAGUUAGAUGAAGGAAUACUCUCAUCCUAUUAUGAAAAAAAUCAAGCACUCCCCUGCAGGAGACAGCUGGGAACACUAAAAUAGUGCAAUGGGAACAUGUAGACAGCAUUUUAGCCCUGAAAUAAGCAGUGUGGCAAGUGUUGUCUUUGUCUUUUUAUGUACUGUUUUAUAGGACUGUCCUUCAUUUUGUCUUACAGCAGUAAUGUUUGUGGCACUUCAACAAAAACGGCUUUUGCAGUUAUUAAAAUGCUGAGGUGUUUACUCUCAAAUUCUUUGUUGCAGCGAUUUGUUUCUCUUGGGCACCAAUCUUUACAGAGGUGCGUCAACAAAAUUCCACGGUACUUCCUUAAUUCUGUCACUUUCUGAUUCUAAUUGCUCAGGUUGGUGCAGUAUCCUCCUGCAGACAAAGUCCCCGCUGCGUUCUUAAAGACAGUGAUGUAGCACCUUUGGUGGGCGUCUGCUGACAGCCUCAGAGGAUGGAGUUGAGGUCACUGCCCCAGUACAUGCACUGUGCGGACCUCCCGAUGUUGUCUUACCUCUCUUUGAAUGGCAAAUACUGCCACCGGCGGACAAUGCGGCGGUUAUCGGAGCGAAAGGGGCAGAACAACCUGUAGCACUGUCUGUCUCAGGAUCUUGGAGGUGCACUCUCAGAGUCACCGGCUUGCCAGAACUCUCCUGGAUUUACACACAGAAAUGCGGAGACAGAGAAAUGAAAACGAACUGUCAGCUGCUUCUGAAUCCAGAGCGCUGAAUGUUGCCGUGAGCCCAAAAUAACAAACUGUGUUUCAAGGCACAGACCCUGAAGACGAAGCACGCAUUCCUGAAAUGGUUCUGACAGCGGCGUUACGGAUAAGCUGCACGAGCUUCUUGAUCCGAUCCGGUAGCAGAACACAUGGCAUUGUUUGGAAAUCACAGACGUGUUCUAGAGAGGGUGGAGGGAAAAGAGAUGUCUGUAUCAGAGUUGGCAGUUGCACUUGUCUUUGUGGGAGAACAGGUUGCCUACAGAAUAGUGUAAGAAAGGGUCUUUUCUCUCUCUGAAGUUAUUCUUCAAUAAUUUAAUUUUGUACAUUUAGGUCCCUUCGCUGUAAGAAAGACAUUGAGGCCCUGGAGUGUGUCCAGAGAAGGGCAACAAAGCUGGUGAGGGGUCUGGAGCACAGGCCUUAUGAGGAGCGGCUGAAGGAGCUGGGAUUGUUCAGUCUGGAGAAGAGGAGGCUCAGGGGAGACGUUAUUGCUCUCUAUAACUACCUGAAGUUGUAGUGAGCUGGGGGUCAGCCUCUUCUCCUGUGUAACUAGUGAUAGGACUAGAGGGAAUGGCUUCAAGCUGUGCAAGGGAAGGUUCAGGCUGGAUGUUAGGAAAUAAUACCCCUCUGAAAGGGUGGUCAGACACUGGAAUGGGCUGCCCAGAGAGGUGGUGGCGUCACCGAGCCUGGUGGUGUUCAAAGAACAUUUGGACAUUGUGUUGAGGGACAUGGUUUAGUGAGAACCAUUGGUGAUGGGUGAAUGGUUGGACUGGAUGAUCCUGUGGGUCUUUUCCAACCUUUGUGAUUCUAUGAUUCUAUGAUUUUUUAGUCCUUAUUUUUGCCUUCAAGUGUCUCUCCCCGUUUCACCAGAACACCUGUCACUGCUUGGAUUUAAUGCUUUGUAACUCGCUUUGAAGAUCCACAAAUGACACUGAUGCCAUGCAGCAUUUUAGCUUUCCUUCCUAGAUUCUAACAGCUAAAGAAUCUGAGGAUGAUUCAUAAACACAGAAAUGUGUAGGUAAUAAAAAUCAGUGCAUAUAAAAUGUAUGUAACUAUAAAAUUUAACUUCUAGCUAUAAAAACUAAUAUCUACAGGCAGAGGAGAAGCACUUAUUAACCCUCUUACUGUAUUCAGGGCUUUUAAGGAGGUUUGUGGAAUGAACAAAUUUUACACUCAUUUUGGUAAAUGUGCCAAGGAAAGACCAUAUGGUGUUCUGCAGGCAUAAAAUCUAUUAUAAACUCCGUAUCCACUUCUCAGCUACUUUCUCAGAGCAGACAAUGAGGACCCGCAGGCGGUUUGUUACUUGGGAUUCAUGCAUGCUCCACACUCCUGGGCUCCUCCUGCAGAUCUCCACGCUUCUGGAGAGGUGUGAGAAAGCUGUACCUUGUGAUCCAGUACUCACGUUAACUGUUGUCCCCUGACAGUGUGCCUUCUGCAUCUUCCUGGGAAAACACAGUUCUGAGGCAGGGCAGGUUUUAAUGCAUGGAGCAAGACACGAUGCUAAAAUUCCCAUGGUUAGAGAAAGCUGUGAGUGGGUUUGGAGGAUGUUUGUCCCAAGCUGCCCUUGGUCACUCAGUGCACCCUAUUACUGCUCCAGAUUUGGGGGAAGAUGGAAAGCAGAGAGUGUUAUGCUUCAAACAGUGUUAUGGGCAAAAGGGAAACACAUUUGAAUCCCAUGAUUUCUUGUUAGCGUGAUUUAAAUCUGUCUUAGUUUCAGCUGGGAUGGAAUUGUUUUCUUCAGAGUGUCUGGCAUGAUGCUGUGUUUUGGUUCCAGGAGAAAAACAAUGUUGAUAACACACCGAUGUUUAUAGUUGCUGCUAAGCAGUGCUGCAGAGAGCCAAGGCUGUUCUCAGUGAAGGGCCCAAGGAGCUGGGAGAGGUCAGAAUUAGGACAGCUGACUUAAAUCGGCCAAAGACAUAUUCCAUAACACAUGACAUCAAACAGAAGGACUUUUGAAGGGGGUGGGAGUUCAUCUCACUUUGUUUCGCUGCUUGGAGGCUAGCUGGGGUUGGACAGGGAGUAGUGAGCAAUUGCUUGUGCAUCACUUUUUAUAUAUAUUCAUACCUAUAUAGUCAUCAUUAUUAUCCUUUUUCUCUGUCUUAGUAAAUAGUUGCAUUUCAACCCAUGAAUUCCACUUUUUUCCCCCUGAUUUACUCCUCCAUCCCACUGGGAAGGGAGGAGUGAGCAAAAGACUGCGUGGUGCUGAGCCACCUGCCAGGUUAAGCCAUGACACAAUCCUACCGCUCAGGUGCAGAAUCAGAUCUACCUACCCACUGCAGAAAAAGAAAUAAAACAAAGAAAUGAAUACUGCCAUGCAAGAAAGGUCUCAGUAGCCUUAACAAUACAGCUAAACGUUUUGCAAACACCUUUCUCAAUUUCUACCCCUUUUCCCAUUCUUAUCCUCACCUUUCCUCUUGGGCUUUGGGCUGGUGCAGAGCAGGUACAGCCACACCAGUCUCCUGCUGGGAGGAACACGGCUCCCAUGGCUCCUUCUUCCUCAUGCUUAGAAUCUGCAUAGGGGUCAUUUUUGUGUGGUUGCUAACACACAUCCACACCUUGCUCUUUUUAAACCUAAUUCAACUCUGUCAGUCCAUAAUGCAUCCAAAUUUACUCAAAAAGUGGUGCACGUUAGGUAUGUUUAAUACUUGUUCUUUAUUUCCCUUGUUGCUCCUGAAGGUGUUUCUGUCCAGAUGCAGCAUUUAUCUAACAGGCAGUGGGUGAACUGAUUAUAGCUGGUGGGUCUCCAGCACCAGCCUGCCCUCCAUCCCUUCUCAUCCCUUGCCUCUCUCCUCUUCACUGCACCCCAUUCACCACUUCUCAGGAGCUUUGUUAUCAUACCAACCCUGUCGUUCUCUAUACUUCAUCAUUACGUUAGUCACAAAUAUCUCAUUCUCCAUGGAGUAACUGCUUGUUACAACUGUCCGUAUAAAACUAUGCUAAUGCCAUACAAGAUGAAACAAAGCAAAAUGUAGGAAACUAAAUAAAAGCAAAACUCUGAGCAGGUCAAGACAGCCUGACAAACUGCUCCUGAGCCCUGCAGACUGCAAGCACUGUGACCAUUGCUCCAAUGGCAUCGCCCUGUUGCUGGUAUGAGGGAGCCUGCUCUGGGGGUCUUGCUCAUCACUUUACAUCACUGGGAGCUGUGUGCUGGCUGGUUUGCCCUGUUUUCCUCCCUGUCUGCGUGUGGCAGCUGGAAGAAGCAGGCAAGCCAAAAAAGUCAUAUUCUGCAACCCUUCUGUAUUUUCUGUGUAAAUGACUGUGAGUUUUAUUUCAGCCUGGCAAUGGCAGCAUUGAUGGGAGAAGCUAACAAGCAAUUUACUUCAAUGAGGACGUACUUGAGGCCCAAUUUGUUUCUGACUGAUGACAGCAGUAGUCUACCACUGGCUUCAAAGAAAGCUCGAUGAGCAUUACUCAGUGGCAGUAAUGCUGCAUCUCCUAUAGUCUGCAAUUGAAGUAGAAGAGAUACUGCAAUCUCUGUAAUUGCUUCACUGUGUAAAAAAGCUUUUGUCUUUGUAACAGGCUUUGUUUUAAUAUGAGCUAGAAGGCAUAUAAGAGUAUCUUCUGUAAUAAAAAUAGCUGUUGAUUCUUACUUCACGGGAAAGUCAGCACUGAAAAGAGAACAGGGAAAAUGUGCUUAUUUACAUAGGAGAAACUUAAAAGAAUGUUUUCAAUACCUUUCAUAAAUCAUACAUCUGAAAACUGAGAAUGGCAGUCUGUUUAGAAAUGCAAAUUUCAUAAUAAUAAAGCUGGUGAUGAUUGGAUAGCAAAAUUAAUAGGAUAAAGAAAAACCCAGCAUUAUAAUCUGUGCAGUUGAACUCCAAUGUCUUCAGUGGGGAUCUUAUUGAUGCAAGUUCCAUUCUUAAUUAAGGAGUUUAAUAUGACUUCUGAAUUUUUACUAGGCACUUUCAAAUGGUGCAUUCAUUGAGGUCUCUGUCUUUACUGGAUGGAUGUGUAGAUGUCAGCACAGCAGAUUGGUCUCAUGGCACUGUGGUCGCUUACAUUCAUCGUUACAGCAUUUGGGUGAGACGUAUUGCCCCUUUGAUAUGCAAAUACGAUAUUUUCUGCAGAUAGGAAAAAAACUGAUACUUAGAUUGGACAUUUUAAAUACUGCUGCGUACACUCUUUGCUAAAUAAUGUACAGUUUACAUAGCUUUCAUAUCUCCACAUCCCAAAUACCAUAUUAGCAUUAAUAAAGAAUACUAUGUAAAAAUUUUCCAUCACAAAGUAAAAAACAAGUUCCAAGUACGUGAGGAGGCUGAUCGUCACUUUUGUUCAUGCUGUAAACAGCUGCAUUUGUGAUCAGUAAUUGUUGCUACCGUUGACUUUAAAGGGGCUCAUGCAUUUCUUGAAAGCAAUCUAAUUGGCCUGCAAAACGAAUAUAAAUUCAUUUUUGUUUUCCUUGCUGGUCUGCGUGAAAGAUAAUGCCAUGUUUUUCAGGAUGAUCAGUCUUACACAGGCAGUAUCAAAGUAAUCUCAAACUAAUUAACGAACACUUGAGCUAUCAGAGUUUAAUAAGUAGAUAAUUGUAGACUCUCUGCCUUGCAGGGGCUGCAGCUGCCGAUACGCACAGGGUGACCUUCCUGUUUCCGAAUGCUAUUAAGUCCUAAUGGCAGGAGACCUCUGCAUCCUGAGGGAAGGAUUUAAACCACCGAAACUGCGCCGGCUGGCAGAACAGAAUUUACCAGCCCUUGGAGGAAGGCUAGAUGGAAUCUGAACAACCUCUGGGUCAGCCUGUGGCAGCAGAGGAUCCCUCCUCCCAUGGAAGAGGUGUUCGUACCGCUCAGGUGCCGCAGUGCUGCGCCGGCAGUCCCACCACAGCCCCCAGCAGAGGCACCUGGCAGGGCUGCCUCCAGCCCAGCUCAACAACACGAGCUGAACGAGCCCAAGUGCUUUCUGAAAGCACAGCUGUGCCCAGAUCGGGGCAGUUCCUGGCAUCACUAGGUGCGAUUUUUCCAUGCUCAUAGCCAGCAUAGUUACGCCUCUGAAACUUUGUAGUAGAGACCUGGCUGGAAUCCUUCAGAUCCUCGCUCUCAGCCUUGGCAAAGCAAGCCCUCUAACUCUGUUGGAGCCAAGGCAGCUCAGCUCUUCCCAUUUAACAGUCCAGACCUUGUUCUUUCAGUGACCAGAAAAGUUGUUCCUGCGGGAAUGGCUUAUCUCUCUGUUCACUGCUUCAUAUCCUGCCUAAAACACUACUAUGGGAUGUAUGGCUGCUCUACUGGAUGCCAAUAUCCAUCCUGUGCUUUUGGAAAGGCAAUUCAAAUUCUGUGCACAGGCUUCUGGCAUGCUGAAAGCUUUUGGUUGCCUGUGUCCAAAGGGCUUACUUGUACAUGUGUGCAGUGCUGGGUUAGCUGGCAGAAAAUAUCACAUUUCCAAACCCUCUGCAAGGAAUCAGUGCUGAAGUUCUGCCUCCCUGAUCUUGUAUUGAUGUUUCCUUUGCUAAUGGCAUGUUAGAACACAAGUUUUAUUUACCCAGGAUAAUAUUUCAUUUUGUCCAUGUGCUGAGGUGAUAAAGUACUUAAAUACAUUGGAUGAUCUUUUCCUAAUGCCAUUUGGUGUGUUUAUGUUGUGUUGCCAUUUUUUAGAGAUAAAAAGAGGCUGAAAGAGCACCAGAGCAUGGAAGAGAUACUUAUGAGUGUUGGGCCAUCAUCAGAGGAAAAAAGAGAGACAAAUAUGAAAAAGAAUGAGUGCUGUGUUUAGUACUUUCUUCUCAUCCUUCACACGGGCAUUUCUGGAAGAGUUCUGGUGUGAUACAGUGUGGUUAAGAUAAGCAGUGGCUGCAAAAGUGCAUAAAAAGUUAGAGAUGACCGACUGCGAUUUUUGCCCAGCCACCUCACAGUGGUGCUUCUCUUAGUGGUCCCUCAUUCAUUUGGACAAAGUAUCUUAGCACGAUAGGAUGUGAAACUUGGCCAUGAGGGGAGGUACACAGAUAAUUUGCUGGUUCUUUCAGCACUUGGAGAAGUUGAUUAUCAUCUGAGAAAGAUUCUCAAAUAUUGUUGAGUGCUGGUUCAAAUGCGACAUAUAAAUGAAGUGAGUUGGGGCUGUCUGCUGAUAUCCUCUAAAGCUACACAGCAGUGCUUCUACAAGAAGUAAGUGCCAGGCAAAGAAACCUGACUUACACAAGUGCAACGUUAUGGACGUGAAAACAAUCAAUGUCCAGAAUGAAAGGAGGCCAGAGAAAUAGUGGGACUCCCAUCACCCCUGUUCUAUUUUAAGGAAUGGUUGCUAGAUAAUGCCAUUCAUGGAGAGUGAAGAUGAAUGUUCUCCCAGUGAUACUUUACAAUAUUUUCAGUGGUAUAUUUGCUCAGCUUUGUAAAAUCCUGAUACAAGGGAACAAGUAAUAUGCAUCAAGUUUAUCGAAGCUCAUUAAUUUGAUGAAAUAUAUUGGAAGGAUUGAUUUAUUCACAAUAUUAAACAGCUACUUACGUGAAACUCUGCUUUCUGACUGGUAACGUGAGAACACACAUUGGUUGCUUGCUAUUUUGUUAAUACUUUCACAAAACCACAUCAGCCUCUUUGUUUUUCUGCUGUUUCUCACAGUUCAGCAGACAGCAACAUGCACUUAACAAAAAUAGAGAGGCUUAGAGACAUGUGCAAGAGACAGCUUCAGAAAAACUCUCAAGACAUGCUAAUCAUCUCUAAGAAGAAAAUAUGUUAUUGGCCUAGUAACCAAGGAACAGACAAAGCUUCCAGGAGAUAUGCAGACUUUAAAACAAUCUGCAGUAUAAUUCCACAUAAAUGGCACCAAAACAAUCUCCAAGGGAGUUGCUGCAUCAUUUUGUCACAGCUCAGCACAACACUUGGUCACUAAAUGAUGCAGCUCUUUGAUAUCUCAUUCCCAUUUUGGUUUGCUUAGGCAAAUCCAGAUGAUCUCUGCCCUGUGCAUCAGUGGAUGCUACAAUCAUUAUGGCUGUGCUCAGGCCCCCAUUCCACAGGAAGAACCACUGGAAUUGUUUACUAUGGAGAAAAGGAGGCUGAAGGGAGACCUUAUUGCUCUCUUCCAGUACCUGAAAGGUGAUUGCAGUGGGAGCAGGGCUGGUCUCUUCUCACUGGUGACAGGACGAGGGGAAAUGGCCCCAAGUUGCACCAGGGGAGGUUUAGGUUGGAUAUCAGGAAAAACUUCUCUACUGAAAGGGCUGUUAAGCACAGGAAUAGGCUCCCCAGGGAGGUGGUUGAGUCACCAUCCCUGAAUGUGUUUAAAAACCAUCUGGAUGUGGUGCUCAGAGAUAUGAUUUAGUGGAGGGUUGUUAGAGUUAGGGUAGCAUGAUUAGGCUGUGGUUGGACUUGAUGAUCUUUAAGGUCUUUUCCAACCUGAGCAAUUCUACGGUUCUAUGAUUCUAUGAUUCCUGCUCUGGUCUUGGCCAGCACAGAUCACUAACUCCAACCCCUGGCACCUGCACCAUCCCACCAUUCCUUCUGCAGAUGUGAAAUUCAGCAUGAGCAAAACUCACCCAGGUCUAGGUCAUAACAAGCCCUAGGUUAGAAAAACGUGGUGUUGUCAAUUUUAGUUGGUGUUUUGACUAAAUAUGCAAGGAUUAAUGGUACAAGUGGUUAUUCCAGCAUAUCUGAGAGGCCGUAUCCUCUGGAAAGGUGAACAAACAGCAUGACAGUGGCGGUGGGCUGCCUGGCAUGGGGUGGGUUCUUGUUCAAAUAGCGUCCUCCUCUCACCAAGCAAUAUCUGCCCGUGGUCUAAUAUUGAGUUAAACUGUUCUUACCUUAAAUAAAUGAAAGAUGUCUUAGUGCUUCAUUAUUGCAUAU
ensembl:lncRNA